rnacentral:tRNA from 1 species
GUCCCUGUGGCCUAACGGAUAAGGCGUUGGCCUCCGGAGCCAAAGAUGCAGGUUCAAUUCCUGCCAGGGACA